AAAUUUUUAGACGUACUACGCCUGGAAAUCAAAGAAAUCCAGGCGUACAAGAGACGUAUUUUUGAAAAUACGGUUAAACUUGAGACGUACACGUAUUUUGACAAAAAUACGUCUCCUUAACCCAAGGCGUAUUUUUCAAACUCCUGGUGGAUUUUGGAACUUUGUUUAUUCUAAAUAGGGAAUUCAGAGACUUAGACUUUUCAAGAGGCGUAUUUUUUUGUUAAAAGAACUUAGUCAAUUUCAUGAGACGUAUUAUUAUAAAUCCAGAUGGAUUUUCUAACUUUGUAACUUUUUUUGAAAUUGAAGUUUAAUUCUCUUUAAAUUUCCUGCAAUUUCCCAAAGAUAUUAAUAAAUAAUUGGCAUAAUUUUGUCAUAAAUUUGAGACACAUUUACUCCAGUCAUAGUAUUAAAUAAUUGAUCAUUAUAAACAAACUUCUGAUGUCAAUUCACAAUGAGAAAAAACUUUUUAAAACAAGAUGUGUUAGUGAAACAUAAAUGCCCCCGAUAAUGGCCAAUUCCGAAGAUGGUCAAGGUCACAAGGACAAAUAUCUUGGUACCAGUAGAAAGAUCUUGUCACAAGAAAUGCUCAUGUACAAUAUGAAAGCUCUAAUAUUUACCAUUUAGAAGUUACGACCAAUGUCAAUUUUUUUAAAAGUAGGUCAAAUGUCAAGGUCAAAAUGUUUAGUACCCAAUGAAAGGUCUUGUCAUAAGGAAUACUCAUGUGAAAUAUCAAAGCUCUACCACUUUUUGUUCAAAAGUUAUUAGCAAGAUUAAAAUUUUCAAAAAGUAGAUCAAAUGUCAAGGUCACUGGGUCAAAAAUAUUGGUACCCACGGAAAGGACCUGUCACAAGGAAUACUCAUGUGAAAUAUCAAAGCUCUAUCACUUACUGUUCAAAAGUUAUUAGCAAAGUUAACAUUUUCAAAAAGUAGAUCAAACUCCAAGGUCAAGGUCACUGGGUCAAAAAUAUUGGUACCCACGGAAAGGACUUGUCACAAGGAAUACUCAUGUGAUAUAUCAAAGCUCUAUCACUUACUGUUCAAAAGUUAUUAGCAAGGUUAAGAUUUUCAAAAGUAGGUCAAACUCCCAAGGUCAAGGUCACAGGGUCAAAAAUGUUGGUACCCACGGAAAGGUCUUGUCACAAGGAAUACUCAUGUGAAAUAUCAAAGCUCUAUCACUUACUGUUCAAAAGUUAUUAGCAAGGUUAAAGUUUCAGAUAGAAUGACAGACAGGACAAAAACAAUAUGCCCCCCGAUCUUCGAUCUCGGGGGCAAAAAAAAACCAGAAUAUUAGAACUGCAUUUUUCUGGGUUAAAGGAUUUGGCGUUUAACUAUAAAAUAUAUCUACAUCCAAUAUAUUUGAUCAAAAUAAAGCCUCGUGAGCUUCUAUACCGUAAUUCACAUUUCCAAUCCUGAUCAAGAAAACGCUUACGAUAAGAUGUGGUAGUUAAGCAUAUGCAAGAUUCUGGAUGACCAAGACUUUAACAGACUUCCGCCAAAUUUGAGCCCGCCAUCGACAACAUGAGCAGGAAAAGAGUGGCAAAGUGAUGAAAACGAAGAUCCUGAAGCUAAUACAGCCAGAAAAACGGAUAGUGACGAUUGAACUAAGGAAAAUUUAAAAUGCUGAAAUUAAAAGGAAGAAAAAAGAAAUUCAAGCCGAAAACAAGAAGAAAUAAAGAAGCAAUAAUAGACUCAAACCAGCAAUCUUUGCAAAUGCAAGAAUGUAGAACCCAACAGUAAUUACGUGCCCGAGUCCUGCAGUUCGAAUGUUCCAGUACUCGUCGGCAACACUUCUGGACCUAGCAGUAUGCUUAAGACUACUACAUCAAUCAGCAACACACCUGUACCAGUCAGCAACUUGAAAGAACCCUGCUAUACUCGUGUGUCUGUGCCAUACAAUAACUCAGUUGUACUUAAUGGUCAAGAUGUGUUAACCUCUGUCAGCAACACCUCAGUACCUUGCAGUUAAAAUAAGCCUGUGCCAGUAAGCAACUCGAAAGAACCCUACUGUCAUACUCGUGUGCUUGUGCCAAAUAACAAAAUUUCGAAUGUAAUUCUUUGAGAUUUAUUUUUAAUCAACUGCUCUAAUAAUGAUGACUGUGCUAUUCAAAAUCUCAACACUCUUAGCCUAUGGUCUUUUCCCAAAGAUUGAGUGUUUGAUGAUUUGUGGAUUCAAAGGAGAGUAUAUAUAUACAUUAUUUGCUGUGGUUAGGAAUUACCAUAGUGCUUAACAGUAAUCUUAUUACAGUUUAUUUCUAGUCAUCAUGAUCUAUUGUUUUAAAAUAUUAAUUAAGCUCUGAUUUUAAUUGUAUAAUUUCAUUUUGAUUAUGUUUAUAACCUAAAUUCAAAUCUUUGUCAGAAAUUAAUCUGUUAUGUUAAUAAAUAUUUUGCUUUUUACAUAUCUAUUCGCAUGGGGGGAAAAUGGAUGCGCAUCGAUGGGCUGAUAUAAUUUUUUAUCUUUCUAUUUCAAAUUGGUAUAAUUGUCAAUUUUGUGAACUAUUACAUGGUAACUAUUGUAAGUUUCAUAUAAUGUCCAAAAAUUGUUACAGAUAUAGCACCCCCUUGUAAUUAACCUUUUACAAAUUUACUCUAUGGGACAUAAACUGACAAAUCAUUGGAAAAAAUUCAACUCUACUCCAUGAAAUGUAUUUGAAUUUUAAUAUCACAUGUAUAAUGUGUCUAUUUUUUAUCAUUUUAAAAAAAAAUUUGCAUCCUUAGGAUCAUUAUGAAUUUGUGUUAAUUACUUAUUGAACUACAUAUUACAUGUAUUAGAAAUAUUUAAAACUACUAUACAUCUGUAUAAUCUCCUUUGUUAGUUAUGUGAUUAUUAUUGAAUGUACUUGUCAACUGAUGAAAAAUUUAAGCUGUUACACAGGCAUAAUUAUGUAUUGUUAAAUACAGUUCCAAUUUUCAAAUACC